CGGCAUUUUAAAAACUUGAGCUCAACAUAAGUAAAACAAAUGAAACAAAGAUGGAUUUUAAUGAUAUCAUGUAACAUUUACUGUGCACAAGCUUGAAUUAUACGUGAGCGUGCAGAGACGCUCUCGCGUGUUUGUUUACUUGUGCGAUGGCCGAGUCCGUUUCCUCUCAGAUGUUCAUUUUGACCUUCGACCCCAGAGAUGAGGUCAAGCCCUGACAAAUGAGAUGGCUGGCAAGAACUGCAAACAUUCCACAGCAAGCUUCUCCUCCUCCUCAUGUCCUUCAUUCCUCACCCCUUCACUCCUCUCAGCACUCUGAGACAAAUCAGAGAACACACACAUUUUAAAACAAAAUCCCUUCAAAUUAAGAAUUAAACAUUAGGUAAAUUUUCAGAAUGAAGAAAAAGAGGCUCCACUUGUAAAACAAUUAGGAUAUUUCCUCCCUCACUGUGUGUUUGGGAAGCUCGACAGCCACGUCAAAGAUGAGAAAUGUUGCAGAAUGCUGCCACCUGUGUCUUUAGGGGCAAAAUAAAUAAAGCGGGGAUAUUGGUAUUCCUCUUCAGGAUGGAGGUUAAGGUAAGUGCUGCCCCCUAUUACAAUGAAAGUGCAAAUAAUAGUCCUGCUUGUUGUUUUUCUGCAUUAACAUUUUUCUUUUCAUGAAACGACCUCGGCUUCCUGAGCAUCAAUGCCCUCCGUCAGUUACGAGUCACUGCUGUAAAAACAAAAACAGUCACCUUUGAUGAACAUCAGCAGAGCAAGCCACAGUGCCACAAAGCCGACGGAGCAGGCCGUCACACCGACUAAAGGAUGUAAAGGAAAGACUCUGAGCCACUUCAGUCCCUGCCGCUACCCACCGUUACCACAGCGUUACUGGAGCGUGGAUGUCUGCCCUCGUCCCUCAGGGCCUUGGUCCCAGUCUCCACCACCCCUCCUCAUCCACCACGACCCCCAUUCCCCGCCACCUCUCCGCCUCACUCCCUGAUUUGGCAGAAUGCCAGCGUCUGCCGCUUCCCACCUUUUCCCCAAGACUCGCGGCUGUAAUAGACGGUAAUGGCCUAAGACAAAUCAACCCGUUUCUUGUAAAAAUAGCAGCAAAUAACCCUUCCCACUCUUCGCCUUGCACUCAACUCACAAGCACACCAGGCGGUAGGGUGGCGGUGGUGUGUCACGGCGCGUUCGACUUAUUCUCCAUCUCCAUCACCCUGGCUAUCCUUCUGACCGCCGUCCCUCCACAUCCAGCGCUGAGCCAGAGGAGACCAUCCAGUGACUCUAACAAAGCCAUAAGUCUGCCGUACUUACAGCUCCCUCUCAGGCCUCACAAUGGAUGGGUAAUGACAGCGCUGUCUGGAGGGGGCUGUGGGAGUUGGGCCAUUCUCUUCUGUAAUGGAAGCAGUUACUUCCAUUCCCUACACACCUGCAGGAACAGCGAACUGUUAAACACCGUGAUCUAUGGCAAAGCCUUACCGCACUAAGGUUGAAGGGUUGCACUGACACCGGUGAAUUAGGACAUGUCUGCUCCACACAUCUUUUUUUCCUCACUCACCAACACACUCCAAAUGUUUCUACUGUACGUUGCCAUAGAAAAGCAAUGGUCAGGGAGUUAUUUAGAAACAAAUCCGUACAAUGAAUCAGCGUAAACGCAGCUUUCAGCAAUGCAAUCCAGCACUCCUGACACUCGUUGAUUUAACACAGACAUAAGAUGCUGCACGUCUUUACUACCCUGUCAUUGGUUUGAACGAUGGGAAACCCAAACUGCCUGUAACAUUAAGCGCGCCACUACAGGCUGACUGUCCUCAAACGCUUUCCAAUCCUGCAGAGAUUUAUGAGCAGAUCCAGAUCCAUUAAUCCAUUGUUGAUCUGCUGUGGCUACCCUGCAGGGUUUUCAGGAUCAGAUAUCAUACAUGGCUGAAAUUCAGCCGACUGUGCAUGGCAAUCGGUAGGACAAUAUAGUAACACGGUUACAAUCAGAG